UACGAGGGGGGCGAGCGUUGUUCGGAAUUAUUGGGCGUAAAGGGUGCGUAGGCGGUUUGGUAAGUCUUAUGUGAAAUCUAUGGGCUCAACCCAUAGUCUGCAUCGGAAACUGUCGGGCUUGAGUAUGGGAGAGGUGAGUGGAAUUUCCGGUGUAGCGGUGAAAUGCGUAGAUAUCGGAAGGAACACCUGUGGCGAAAGCGGCUCACUGGACCAUUACUGACGCUGAGGCACGAAAGCUAGGGGAGCAAACAGG
rnacentral:rRNA from 1 species